rnacentral:rRNA from 1 species
AUACGUAGGUGGCAAGCGUUGUCCGGAAUUAUUGGGCGUAAAGCGCGCGCAGGUGGUUCCUUAAGUCUGAUGUGAAAGCCCCCGGCUCAACCGGGGAGGGUCAUUGGAAACUGGGGAACUUGAGUGCAGAAGAGGAUAGUGGAAUUCCAAGUGUAGCGGUGAAAUGCGUAGAGAUUUGGAGGAACACCAGUGGCGAAGGCGACUGUCUGGUCUGUAACAGACACUGAGGCGCGAAAGCGUGGGGAGCAAACAGGAUUAGAUACCCUGGUAGUCCACGCCGUAAACGAUGAGUGCUAAGUGUUGGGGGGUUUCCGCCCCUCAGUGCUGCAGCUAACGCAUUAAGCACUCCGCCUGGGGAGUACGGUCGCAAGACUGAAACUCAAAGGAAUUGACGGGG